rnacentral:rRNA from 1 species
GUGUCAGCCGCCGCGGUAAGACGUAGGGGGCAAGCGUUGCUCGGAAUCACUGGGCUUAAAGGGCGCGUAGGCGGCAGGGCAAGUCUGGGGUAGAAGGCGGAGGCUCAACCUCUGUAAUGCCCUGGAAACUGCUUUGCUUGAGCGAGCGAGGGGAGGGCGGAAUUCCCGGUGUAGCGGUGAAAUGCGUAGAUAUCGGGAGGAAGGCCUGUGGCGAAGGCGGCCCUCUGGCGCUUAGCUGACGCUGAGGCGCGAAAGCGUGGGUAGCAAACAGGAUUAGAUACCCUGGUAGUCCACGCCCUAAACGGUGGGCACUAGGUGUGGGGCUCGAGAGGGUUCCGUGCCGAAGGGAAACCAAUAAGUGCCCCGCCUGGGGAGUACGGCCGCAAGGUUAAAACUCAAAUGAAUUGACGGGG